UUCACUAAAUGUUUUCUCUUCCUGUGUUCAUUACUCAUCGAGCUGAUGCCUUUUAGGCAGCAAGGCGAUUUUUCUAACGUGCUGCUCAGAAAGGUCUAAUAAGUAGUGAACGCUGAAGAAAAGAGAACAGAAACAUAACAACAAUAAUGUCCUGUUAGAUAUAUACAUGUGGCCUACAUAGAUCUGUUAUAUAGAAAGGAGGAAAGUGAUUCAGAUUAAAGAUCUACUAUUUGUAUUUAUUGAUUCAAGGUCCAGUCAAGUUACUACUAUCUAUAGGUAAGUGAAUAUUACAUUUAUAUUGUAUUGGAACGUUUAAUGAUUUUUUUAUCAAAUGAAAAUCAGAAAUAUAUUGAAAUUGUAAAUGUGAAUUAAAGGGGAGAUAAUCCAGAGCUAUAGGAUUCAUUCUAAAUAGCAUUAGACCAGUGUUUGUAUUAAAGGGGAGAUAAUCCAGGGCUAUAGCAUUCAUUCUAAAUAGCAUUAGACCAGUGUUUGUAUUAAAGGGGAGAUAAUCCAGAGCUUUAGGAUUCAUUCUAAAUAGCAUUAGACCAGUGUUUGUUUGUAUUUAUUCUUUUAGAACAAGUUUUAAAAAUUGCACUUAGCAACCUUUGUGACGGGAUACAAAAAAUAAAAUGACACAAUUGCAAAAUUAAUUGUACUUGGGAGUUGAAACUAAUUAAACAUUGCAAGAAUUACAAAUAGAGUUGUUAACUUAGAACAUGUACAUUCAAGUUGUGCUUUUUAAAUGCAAGAUGGGAGGUCUAUGUCAAUGAGACAGCAACCAAUCAACAAAAGAGGUCAACAUUUUAUUUAAAAAUAGAUAAGUGUCUCUAUAACUUGUUGGUUUUAUUUCAUUUAAAUUUUCAGUUUGAACAUCUAUUAUGUCUAUUAUUGUUUUUUAUUUGAUAAUUGUCCAGUCCUUGUGUUUAUUGUCCAGUCCGUGUGACCAGUCCGUGUGACCAUUGUCCAGUCUAUGUGAUCCUUGUCCAGUUGA